UACGGGGGGGGCAAGCGUUGUUCGGAAUUACUGGGCGUAAAGGGCUCGUAGGUGGCCAACUAAGUCAGACGUGAAAUCCCUCGGCUUAACCGGGGAACUGCGUCUGAUACUGGCAGGCUUGAAUCCGGGAGAGGGAUGUGGAAUUCCAGGUGUAGCGGUGAAAUGCGUAGAUAUCUGGAGGAACACCGGUGGCGAAGGCGGCAUCCUGGACCGGUAUUGACGCUGAUGCGCGAAAGCCAGGGGAGCAAACGGG
rnacentral:rRNA from 1 species